GAUGAACGCUGGCGGCGUGCCUAAUACAUGCAAGUCGAGCGAACGGACGAGAAGCUUGCUUCUCUGAUGUUAGCGGCGGACGGGUGAGUAACACGUGGAUAACCUACCUAUAAGACUGGGAUAACUUCGGGAAACCGGAGCUAAUACCGGAUGAUAUUUUGAACCGCAUGGUUCAAAAGUGAAAGACGGUCUUGCUGUCACUUAUAGAUGGAUCCGCGCUGCAUUAGCUAGUUGGUAAGGGAACGGCUUACCAAGGCAACGAUGCAUAGCCGACCUGAGAGGGUGAUCGGCCACACUGGAACUGAGACACGGUCCAGACUCCUACGGGAGGCAGCAGUAGGGAAUCUUCCGCAAUGGGCGAAAGCCUGACGGAGCAACGCCGCGUGAGUGAUGAAGGUCUUCGGAUCGUAAAACUCUGUUAUUAGGGAAGAACAUAUGUGUAAGUAACUGUGCACAUCUUGACGGUACCUAAUCAGAAAGCCACGGCUAACUACGUG
rnacentral:rRNA from 1 species